AGUCUCCUGAAGGAACGUUGAAGACGACGACGUUGAUAGGCCGGGUGUGUAAGCGCAGCGAUGCGUUGAGCUAACCGGUACUAAUGAACCGUGAGUCUUAACCUUACAACGCCGAAG
rnacentral:rRNA from 1 species